CAGCAGCCGCGGUAAUACCGGCGGCCCGAGUGGCGGUCACUAUUAUUGGGCUUAAAGCGUCCGUAGCCGGGUUGGUUAGUCUCCCGGGAAAUCUGGCCGCUUAACGGUCAGAAUUCCGGGAGAUACUGCCAGCCUAGGGACCGGGAGAGGCCGAGGGGAUUCCCGGAGUAGGGGGGAAAUCCUAUAAUCCCGGGAGGACCACCUGUGGCGAAGGCGCUCGGCUGGAACGGGUCCGACGGUGAGGGACGAAGGCCAGGGGAGCAAACCGGAUUAGAUACCCGGGUAGUCCUGGCUGUAAACGAUGCGGACUUUGUGUCGGACAAGCUAUGAGCUUGUCCGGUGCCGGAGGGAAACCGUUAAGUCCGCCGCCUGGGGAGUACGGCCGCAAGGCUGAAACUUAAAGGAAUUGGCGGG
rnacentral:rRNA from 1 species